rnacentral:rRNA from 1 species
CGGUCCUAAGGUAGCGAAAUUCCUUGUCGGGCAAGUUCCGACCUGCACGAAUGGCAUAACGAUGGCCACACUGUCUCCUCCUGAGACUCAGUGAAGUUGAAGUGUUUGUGAUGAUGCAAUCUCCCCGCGGCUAGACGGAAAGACCCCAUGAACCUUUACUGUAGCUUUGCAUUGGACUUUGAACCGAUCUGUGUAGGAUAGGCGGGAGCCUGUGAAACCACAACGCCAGUUGUGGCGGAGGCGUCCUUGAAAUACCGCCCUGAUUUGUUUGAGGUUCUAACCUGGGACAGUCAUCCUGUCCGGGGACCGUGCAUGGUAGGCAGUUUGACUGGGGCGGUCUCCUCCUAAAGGGUAACGGAGGAGUGCGAAGGUACGCUAGGUACGGUCGGAAAUCGUGCUGAUAGUGCAAUGGCAAAAGCGUGCUUGACUGCGAGACCCACAAGUCGAGCAGAUACGAAAGUAGGUCAUAGUGAUCCGGUGGCUCUGUAUGGAAGGGCCAUCGCUCAACGGAUAAAAGGUACUCUGGGGAUAACAGGCUGAUACCGCCCAAGAGUUCAUAUCGACGGCGGUGUUUGGCACCUCGAUGUCGGCUCAUCUCAUCCUGGGGCUGUAGCCGGUCCCAAGGGUAUGGCUGUUCGCCAUUUAAAGAGGUACGUGAGCUGGGUUUAAAACGUCGUGAGACAGUUUUGUCCCUAUCUGCCGUGGGCGCUGGAAGAUUGACGGGGGCUGCUCCUAGUACGAGAGGACCGGAGUGGACUCACCUCUGGUGUACCGGUUGUCACGCCAGUGGCAUCGCCGGGUAGCUAUGUGGGGAAGAGAUAACCGCUGAAAGCAUCUAAGCGGGAAACUUGCCUGAAGAUAAGUCUUCCUGGAGGCUAGACCUCCCUAAAGAGUCGUUCGAGACCAGGACGUUGAUAGGAUGGGUGUGUAAGUGCUGUGAGGCACUCAGCUAACCAUUACUAAUUGCUCGUGAAGCUUGAUCCU